rnacentral:rRNA from 1 species
GAACGCUAGCUACAGGCUUAACACAUGCAAGUCGAGGUUCAGCAUUUCAGUUUGCUUGCAAACUGGAGAUGGCGACCGGCGCACGGGUGAGUAACACGUAUCCAACCUGCCGAUAACUCGGGGAUAGCCUUUCGAAAGAAAGAUUAAUACCCGAUGGUAUAAUCAGACCGCAUGGUCUUGUUAUUAAAGAAUUUCGGUUAUCGAUGGGGAUGCGUUCCAUUAGGCAGUUGGUGAGGUAACGGCUCACCAAACCUUCGAUGGAUAGGGGUUCUGAGAGGAAGGUCCCCCACAUUGGAACUGAGACACGGUCCAAACUCCUACGGGAGGCAGCAGUGAGGAAUAUUGGUCAAUGGGCGCAGGCCUGAACCAGCCAAGUAGCGUGAAGGAUGACUGCCCUAUGGGUUGUAAACUUCUUUUAUAUGGGAAUAAAGUUUUCCACGUGUGGAAUUUUGUAUGUACCAUAUGAAUAAGGAUCGGCUAACUCCGUGCCAGCAGCCGCGGUAAUACGGAGGAUCCGAGCGUUAUCCGGAUUUAUUGGGUUUAAAGGGAGCGUAGGUGGACAGUUAAGUCAGUUGUGAAAGUUUGCGGCUCAACCGUAAAAUUGCAGUUGAUACUGGCUGUCUUGAGUACAGUGGAGGUGGGCGGAAUUCGUGGUGUAGCGGUGAAAUGCUUAGAUAUCACGAAGAACUCCGAUUGCGAAGGCAGCUCACUGGACUGCAACUGACACUGAUGCUCGAAAGUGUGGGUAUCAAACAGGAUUAGAUACCCUGGUAGUCCACACAGUAAACGAUGAAUACUCGCUGUUUGCGAUAUACAGUAAGCGGCCAAGCGAAAGCAUUAAGUAUUCCACCUGGGGAGUACGCCGGCAACGGUGAAACUCAAAGGAAUUGACGGGGGCCCGCACAAGCGGAGGAACAUGUGGUUUAAUUCGAUGAUACGCGAGGAACCUUACCCGGGCUUAAAUUGCAUUUGAAUAUAUUGGAAACAGUAUAGCCGUAAGGCAAAUGUGAAGGUGCUGCAUGGUUGUCGUCAGCUCGUGCCGUGAGGUGUCGGCUUAAGUGCCAUAACGAGCGCAACCCUUAUCUUUAGUUACUAACAGGUCAUGCUGAGGACUCUAGAGAGACUGCCGUCGUAAGAUGUGAGGAAGGUGGGGAUGACGUCAAAUCAGCACGGCCCUUACGUCCGGGGCUACACACGUGUUACAAUGGGGGGUACAGAAGGCAGCUACCUGGUGACAGGAUGCUAAUCCCAAAAGCCUCUCUCAGUUCGGAUCGAAGUCUGCAACCCGACUUCGUGAAGCUGGAUUCGCUAGUAAUCGCGCAUCAGCCAUGGCGCGGUGAAUACGUUCCCGGGCCUUGUACACACCGCCCGUCAAGCCAUGAAAGCCGGGGGUACCUGAAGUACGUAACCGCAAGGAGCGUCCUAGGGUAAAACU